UUUUUUUUUUUUUUUUGGAGAUGGGUCUCACUCUUUCUUCCGGGAUAAAAUGCAGUGGCAUGAUCAUAGCAGCUCACUGCAGCCUUGAACUCCUGGGCUCAACUGAUCCUCAUCCUCAGCUUCCCGAAUAGCUGGGACUACAGGCGUGAGCUACCACUCCCAGCAGAGAAGGAGACUCCUUUAUUUUGCUGGAUUAUGUUAAAACACAAAGUGCUGGGUUAUGGAGAUGUUGCUGUGUUGUCUCAAGCCAUGAUAUUGAUUGAUUGAUUGAUUGAGACGAGCCUCACUCUGUUGCCCAGGCUGGAGUGCAGUGGAGCAAUCUUGGCUCACUACAACCUCUGCCUCUUGGGCUCAAGUGAUUCUCCUGCGUCAGCCUCCCAAGUAACUGGGACUAUAGGUGCAUGUCACCACGCCCAGCUAUUUUUUGUAUUUUUAGUAGAGGCGGGGUUUCGCUUUGUCAGCCAGGCUGUUCUCGAACUCCUGACCUCAGGUGAUCCACCGGCCUUGGCCUUCCAAAGUGUUGGGAUUACAGAUGUGAGCUACUGAGCCCGGCCACAAGCGACGAUAUUUAAAGGUAUCCCCAUUAACAUCUUCUGUUUGGUCCAAGUAAGUUGGUAAACAGUAGCAACUUUAGCUCUCUGAGUUGGCUUCCUACCCUACUCAGUAGUCUUUGUAUUUCCCAGUAUUCUCAUCAGGCUAUCAAACAGGAAAGGAUCUCAUGCAUCACUAUUUACUGAUGGACUGUGAGCCUAUCCCUUACUAUGGACUAUUCGCAUGACUGUGUUACUUAAAAACACAUUUUUUAGUCUUUUAAAUUCAAUUUUAUUUUAAUUAAUUAAUUAAUUAAUUAUUUUGAGAUAGGGUCUUGCUCUGUUGCCCGGGUUGGAGUGCAAUGGUGCCAUAUUGGCUCACUGCAACUUCUACCUCCCAGAUUCAAGCGAUUCUCAUGCUUCAGCCUCCCUGAGUAGUCACCACACCUGGCACAUGCAUUUUUGUAUUUUUAGUAGAGAUAGGAUUUUGCCAUGUUGGCCAGGCUGGUCUCCAACUUCUGACCUCAAGUGAUCCACCUGCCUUGGCCUCCCAAAGUGCUGGGCUUACAGGUGUGAGCCACCGUGCCCAGCCUAUUUAUUUAUUUAUUUAUUUAUUGAGACAGGAUCUUGCUCUGUUGCCCAGGCUGGAGUGCAGUGGCAUGAUCAUAGCCCACUGAAGCCUUGACUUCCUGGCCUCACGCAAUCCUCCCUGCUCAGCCUCCUGAGUAGCUGGGACCACAGGUGUGUGCCACCAUGCCUGGCUAGUGUUUUUAUUUUUUUGCAAAGAUAUGGUCUCACUCUGUAGCCCAGGCUGGUCUCAAACUCCUAGGCUCAGGUGACCCUCCUGCCUCAGCCUCCAAAAGUGCUGGGAUUACAGGUGUGAGCCACUAUGCCCACCCACCCAGCCUAAAUUAAACUUUGGAAUAAAAUAAUUUUUGUGCUGUUAAAGGGAUUUCAACAAGCUGAUAGAGAGAUGUUGGAGGUAAGAGAAGUAAAAUCUGAAAUAUACUCCAUGUUAAAAAAUCCAGCAGCCGUUUUAAGGAGAAUAAAGAGAUAAUGAGAAGGGACUAAAGAGGGAAUGAUUUUAUUUAUGUAUCUAUUUAUUUAUUUUGGAGACAAGCUGUCUCUCUCCUGGGCAACAGAGUGAGAUCCCUGUCUCCACAAAUAAAUAAUAAAUAAAUACAUAAUAAAUAAAUUAUAUACACCUUACAAUCAAAUAAGUUAUAUUCAAAACAAAGAUCAAUACUAAAAGUUCUUCAUGCCCCAAUUAUUUUACAAUGUGUUACUAUUAUUUGAGAUCUUGAGGUUAUUUGUAUUUAUUCCAUCUGUAUGAUGGAAACAUUAUGUAAUGAUGUGCUACUGCAAAGAAAGCUCUUCCCAACCCUGUGUUCCCAUGUCCUGUGAUGCCACCUUGGUGGCUGAAAUCAGCUACCGUGUUCCCAUGGAGAUUUCCACCAGGGAAAUCUGCAAAUGUCGCAGGAAUGUGAUUUGUUGUUUUACUGGUUGUUUAUACUUAAAAAACGGAUAGAGAAAAUGUUAGUAAUGCAGAUUAAACUUAAAAGUGUUUCAUGGCUAAAACAGUUCCUUUGUGACUAGCACAAAAAUUGAGAAAUUGAGAAAAUAUUCUUCAAGUAUUUGAAGCUAUUAAUCUGAUUCUGCAAAGUCACUCACUUAAUUGACAAUUGAGUCAAGUUCUGACAGAAAUAUUGUUUCUCUUUCAUCUUACUCUUCAACAUAAAUGAAAGUAUCCACCAACACUUAUGUUAGAAUGAAAUCUUUCCUUAGUUGCAACCAUAUAUUGGCUACAGAUAAAAGAAUUCAUAAAAAACCUGUGAAAACAUUCCAUGAGAAUCAAUGGUGUACACUGAAUUUAAAAUAGAGUAUUGUAUGUUUUAUUGUUAUUUUAAAAUUGUGUACUAUAUAUCCUUUAUGUCAGUAAAAUUUAUAACAAACACAUGUAUCUAGAUAUGCGAAAAGUUUUUUUCUUGGAGCUCCGGUUGUUAAUCAUUUACUAGCACACUGCUGCAUUUGAGGUCUUCUUCUCUUCCUUACACUCACUACAAUCAUAGCUCAAUAACUAAACGUGUAUUAAAAAAAUCUCAUGUCUGUCUUCCUUGCUUAGAAUAUAAGCUCCAUAAGGGCAGAACACAUUUCUGUUUUAUACAUAGCCAUUUUCUCAGACCCUGGCUCAGUAUUUGGCACCUGGCAGAUGCUCAAUAAAUGUUUUUUUUGGAUGAAUGGAUGGAUGAAUGAGUGAAUCCAAAUCCUGACUUUUGUUUUCCUGCUGCCAAUGAUUCAUUUAAUGUUUUCCUAUAAAUAUAUAUAUAUAUUUAAUUAAAAAAAAUAAAGACAGGGUCUUGCCAUGUUGCUCAGGCUGGUCUCGAACUCCUGAGCUCAGGCAAUUCACCUGCCUUGGCCUCCCGAAGUGCUGGGAUUACAGGUGUGAGCCACCAUGCCUGGCCACUUAACAUUUUCUUACAUUUAAUAUCAAUUAUGAAACAUUUAACUUUAAUUUUACACAUUUAACUUUAAUUAUGUAAUAACAUUUUUUGGUGACAUCUUAGAAUGAAUCUAUAAUUAUGCUGUACUAUGUUUUCCCCGAUAACAAAGCUUCUUGUAAAAUGGUAUAAAAACAAUGCAUUCACUUCAUAAAUACUAUUUUAUUUUCUUUUUCUUUUUUUCUAGGACAGAGGCUCACUUUGUCUCCCAG
ensembl:lncRNA